rnacentral:rRNA from 1 species
CAGCCGCCGCGGGAAUACGUAGGUGGCAAGCGUUGUCCGGAAUUAUUGGGCGUAAAGGGCUCGCAGGCGGUUUCUUAAGUCUGAUGUGAAAGCCCCCGGCUCAACCGGGGAGGGUCAUUGGAAACUGGGAAACUUGAGUGCAGAAGGGGAGAGUGGAAUUCCACGUGUAGCGGUGAAAUGCGUAGAGAUGUGGAGGAACACCAGUGGCGAAGGCGACUCUCUGGUCUGUAACUGACGCUGAGGAGCGAAAGCGUGGGGAGCGAACAGGAUUAGAUACCCCCGUAGUCCCUGUCUCUUAUAC